rnacentral:lncRNA from 1 species
CCAAUGGCACCAAUGGCACCAGGAUAUCCUCAGUCAGGAUAUCCUCAGACUGGAAAAGCUUAUCCUAGCAUGGAUCCUGGUGGAUAUCCUUAUCCUCAAGCUGCACCAGCUUACCCAGGUGCCGCUUACCCUAGCCCUCCUGCAGCACCUAUGCCAUAUGCGGCACAGCCUCAAAUGACUUACCCUCAACUUGCUGUGAAGAAAGACCAACUUGGCGUCGCUCCAACACCGCCUAUGGGGAUGGGUGGCUAUCCUUAUUACGGUAACAAUUAGUAAUCGGCUCAAAAAUGGUGUAGCAUGGGUGGCUAUCCUUAUUACACCACACAAGUGCUGCUCACUCUAGCCAUCCUGCGGCACCUAUGCCAUAUGCGGCAGUCUCAAAUGACUUACCCUCAACUUGCUGUGAAGAAAGACCAGCUUGGCGUCCUUCCGACACUGCCUAUGGGGAUGGGUUUCUAUCCUUAUUGCAGUGCCAAGCAGUAAUCGACUCAAACAUGGUGUAGCAUG